rnacentral:rRNA from 1 species
CGGAAGGAUCAUUAUUGAAAACAAGGGUGUCCAAUUUAACUUGGAACCCAAACUUCUCAAUUCUAACUUUGUGCAUCUGUAUUAAUGGCGAGCAACUUCGGUUGUGAGCCUUCACUUACAAAACACUAGUCUAUGAAUGUAAAAUUUUUAUAACAAAUAAAAACUUUCAACAACGGAUCUCUUGGCUCUCGCAUCGAUGAAGAACGCAGCGAAAUGCGAUACGUAAUGUGAAUUGCAGAAUUCAGUGAAUCAUCGAAUCUUUGAACGCAUCUUGCGCUCUCUGGUAUUCCGGAGAGCAUGUCUGUUUGAGUGUCAUGAAUUCUUCAACCCAAUCUUUUCUUGUAAUCGAUUGGUGUUUGGAUUCUGAGCGUUGCUGGCGUUUGCCUAGCUCGUUCGUAAUACAUUAGCAUCCCUAAUACAAGUUUGGAUUGACUUGGCGUAAUAGACUAUUCGCUAAGGAUUCGGUGGAAACAUCGAGCCAACUUCAUUAAGGAAGCUCCUAAUUUAAAAGUCUACCUUUUGAUUAGAUCUCAAAUCAGGCAGGAUUACCCGCU